rnacentral:lncRNA from 1 species
CUCCUUUAUGUGCAGAUUGAUCAGUUCUUUAGGAACAUGGAAGGAGAGGAUGGUCUCAGCCAUCUGUUCCCGGAUCCGCAUCCACUUGUUGUCAGAAGUAGGAAAUCUGUACAACUUACAGAUCGGGUUUUUUAACACUGCAUUUAAUGAAGGCAAGUUGUCUUUACCACUUAUGCCUUCAGAUGCUGUACACUCACGAACCAAUGCACACUUUUGAUCCUGUGAAUCUGUUGUGACGUGGCCUGGUUCCCCAUCUUCUAGCUCUCCCAUGUUCACUAGAUUGACUUCAAUGGUACCAACUGUCUUUCCACCAUCGGAAGUUCUGAGGGUAAGGGUCAACUGUUGCUCCUUUGACUUCACCAAGUCUCCUACUGUAAAAGUUGUAAAGCCCAGGAAGCUUCUUCCAACGUCUGUUCUUGGCUCCUUGUGAUCAGGUAGGACAGUGGUAUGGACCGUGUCUUGAGAUUUAUCUUUGACAUCAUAGACUGUGAGUUUUAUUUUAGUUUCUUCAUAGAUGGGGUAUUCCGGUGGGAAUGUCACACCAGUCAGAAACAGUGGAUCUCUUGUUCCCUCCACGAUUUCAGUACUUGAAUACCUCGUCAAAACGUGCUCUGCUGGAUGUACCACUGAGACUUGUAUAAACGUAUUCAGCUUCCGAUCACGGGUAGCAGCCACUAGAUCCUUGCAUGCAAGACUGAACUCCAGCUUUGGCUCAUUUGCAAUUCUCUGAAUACUCGUAAGCUGUGGCUCUCCUAGACUGUCUAUUUGUGAUGAAGGGAGAAACUGUUGUGCUUCAUCUGAUGCUCUCUCCUCUUUGAUCUCCAUGAUCAACCUCCAGGCUGAUGAAUUUUAUUCCUCAAUCUUUGAGUUUGCCUCUCCCAGUGCCACAGCCCAAGAUUCACAAUCUGCUUUUGAUGCAGCUUCGGGGUAAAGAUCUGGUCCUCCACUCUGAAAUUCAGUGAGAAUUAUUUAAACAUCUGUUUUACACUUGAACUCCAGAACCCAGCACCGCU